CCUACGGGUGGCAGCAGUGGGGGAUAUUGGACAAUGGGCGGAACCCUGAUCCAGCGACGCCGCGUGAGUGAAGAAGGAUUUCGGUACGUAAAGCUCUGUCAGCAGGGAAGAAAGAAAUGACGGUACCUGACCAAGAAGCCCCCGCUAACUACGUGCCAGCCGCCGCGUUAAUACGUAGGGGGCAAGCGGUAUCCGGAAUUACUGGGUGUAAAGAUCGCGUAGACGGUUAAUUAAGUCUGCAGUGAAAGGCCGGGGCGCAACCCCGGGACUGCUCUGGAAACUGUUGAACUUGAGUGCAGGAGAGGUAAGCGGAAUUCCUAGUGUAGCGGUGAAAUGCGUAGAUAUUAGGAGGAACACCAGUGGCGAAGGCGGCUUACUGGACUGUAACUGACGUUGAGGCUCGAAAGCGUGGGGAGCAAACAGGAUUAGAUACCCCUGUAGUC
rnacentral:rRNA from 1 species